CCUACGGGAGGCAGCAGUGGGGGAUAUUGCACAAUGGGGGGAACCCUGAUGCAGCGACGCCGCGUGGGUGAAGAAGCGCCUCGGCGCGUAAAGCCCUGUCAGCAGGGAAGAAACAGACGGUACCUGAAGAAGAAGCCCCGGCUAACUACGUGCCAGCAGCCGCGGGAAUACGUAGGUGGCAAGCGUUAUCCGGAUUUACUGGGUGGAGAGGGGGUGGAGACGGCGGUGCAAGUCAGGAGUGAAAGCCCGGGGCCCAACCCCGGGACUGCUCUUGAAACUGCGGGGCUUGAGUGCAGGAGGGGCAGGCGGAAUUCCUGGUGUAGCGGUGAAAUGCGUAGAUAUCAGGAGGAACACCAGUGGCGAAGGCGGCCUGCUGGACUGCAACUGACGUUGAGGCGCGAAAGCGUGGGGAGCAAACAGGAUUAGAUACCCGGGUAGUC
rnacentral:rRNA from 1 species